CCUACGGGGGGCAGCAGUAAGGAAUAUUGGUCAAUGGAGGCAACUCUGAACCAGCCAUGCCGCGUGCAGGAAGACGGCCCUAUGGGUUGUAAACUGCUUUUAUUCGGGAAUAAACCCCUUUACGUGUAAAGGGUUGAAUGUACUGAAGGAAUAAGGAUCGGCUAACUCCGUGCCAGCAGCCGCGGUAAUACGGAGGAUCCAAGCGUUAUCCGGAUUUAUUGGGUUUAAAGGGUGCGUAGGCGGCCUGUUAAGUCAGGGGUGAAAGACGGUGGCUCAACCAUCGCAGUGCCCUUGAUACUGAUGGGCUUGAUUGCAGUUGAGGUAGGCGGAAUGUGACAAGUAGCGGUGAAAUGCAUAGAUAUGUCACAGAACACCGAUUGCGAAGGCAGCUUACUAAAGUGUAAAUGACGCUGAGGCACGAAAGCGUGGGGAUCAAACAG
rnacentral:rRNA from 1 species